rnacentral:tRNA from 1 species
UGUGGCAUAGUACAACGGCUAGUACGGUCGCCUGAUAAGCGAUUGAUGAUGGUUCGAUUCCAUCUGCUACAACCA